ensembl:lncRNA
GGGGGGUCGUCCACUCACCUGCCCUGGAGUGGGGCUGCCACAGUCCCCCUUCCCCGGAUUUGACACUGCGUUCCUGAGUCCUCAGGGGUGGGGUUUAGAAAUGAGAGAGGCCACUUGCGCUUCACAAUGUGAACUCGGCACAGGUCAGGAGGUCUCCACAGGUGUGUGGACCCAAGGGUUUCUGAACGGGGACAGUGGACUUCUCAACAGAGCACACUCAGUUAUCCAUCAAGCGUGCUGAGGCACUAGCCAAGCUCCUUUCUGACUUGGGGGUGGUUCCAGUGAGAGCCCCAAGGCCACUGCUGGCUGCUCUGGCCCGGGGCCCGAGGCACCCUCAGGACCAUCUGACGGAGGCUCACCAAGCUCUCCAUGAUGCAGGGAGACCCCCAACCCCCUCCUACCCGCUCCGCUCCACCACCCAUCUCACCCUGAUAACUGCCCAAGAAAGCAAUUCCACAAAGGAUGCCACCAAGUCAGUCGCCCACCUUCACCAAACAACCUCAGACCAGUCGGACCAGGUUCCACUUCCUGAAUUCACCACUCCUGGUGAAGCCAAUCCUCAUACUCAGAGGCUCAACGUAAGAGCCCAUCUCCCGCCUUCCCUCCACGUGCCCCCGCGCUUCCACGGCGCAUGUGGAAUGAUGGCCCAUCACAGCAGGCCAUCACAUUCUCCUCCACAUGCUGCGCCUUCCACCUCUGGAGGGCUAUUUGUCCUCCCAUUUCCCACACCAAAGGCUUGCAGUGGGUAGAUGGCAUCCUUGCUCCACAUCUCUACUUCCAGACCAUUUUUCCCCCCUUUUCCUUUCAUUCACAGUGCAUAAAUGAGACCCAUUGCCCACCAGCUGGAUAAUGGUCACCCAGGUCCUCCUUGAUAGCUUCUGGGUCACCAUCUUCUUCCCUUGACACCUCCCGAUUUCCUUCUCGUAUCGUUAACCACCACACGUUGAUGCUAUACCCAGCUCCCCAGCAGCGGCCUGGGGAUUCCUCACUUCCAGUGACCUUUGCUUCCAUCUCACCUGGUCCUCCAGCCCCAGGGUCACUGCCUCAGCUUGGAUCCUGACAGUACUAGUCAUGACACUUUCUCCCAAAGCUCCGGGCUACCACUGACUUACUCUAGAACCCUGACUCAGCCAUGAUCACCUUCAGAACCUCUGGCCCAUCCCCUCCCCACCUUCUCACUCCUGACCCUUGCUGGGCUCACCCAAUCCACCCAAUCCGAAAGGCUCUACCCUUUAGGACAUCCCAUGUUCCCCAUGUCCCCCACCUUGGUGGGGGCUCCUGUCCUAGCACCACCUUCCAUUGACUCACCCCCAUAUCUACACAACAGCCUAGAUGGGCUCUCUGUGGCCACCUCUGUUAUCAGUGAUCAUUUCAACAGAGACCAAACACCCCUCCCUGCUCAGAACCCUCCCAGAGCUUCCAUCUCACUCAGAAUAAAAGCUGAACAGGCCCCAGCCUCUGAGCCUGCCUCUUUCACCUCAGAUCCACUCCUCCAUGGCUCAGUCCAGUCCCACUGGCCUUCUUGCUUUUUCUCAAAGACGCCAGAGGGCUUUUCAUGUGCCAUCUCCUAGUUCCAAAACACUCCCACCCCAGACCUCCAUCUGACCCAUCCCCUUACUCUGUUCCCACUCCCCCUCCCCAGAGAGACCUUUCCAUACCCCUGUAUUUAACAUAACAUCCACUUUUGCCUCUUGCUGCCACCUUACCCUGCUGUCCUUUUCUCCAUAAAACUCCACAGUGGGUAAAAUUAUGUUUCAUAGUUUGUAUUUUACUGUCCGUCUCCCCACGAGAUCAUAAAGUCCAUGUGAACAAGGACUUCAUCUUGUUCACUGCUCUACCCCCAGUUUAGAAGAAACAGCUAAGGUCUAGAAUCAACUAGAAUACAGUAUACAGUCAAUCCUUAUUUGUGGAAUGGCUAAAUCAUUCCUCGUUGAUCGAUCAAUUCAUGGACCACGUGGUUGUGCUAAUAAGAGAAUCUGAUAAAGGAAAAAGAGAGCCCUCUUGAAAAAGCAUUCACAGUCAAAGCAGAUAUCCCUUCCCCAAAGCAUUUAUAAAGAUGGGCUGGGUCUUGUGGGAGAGUGGACCGAGAGAGACCUGUCAGAAACAAAGAGUAGACUCUGCUCAACGAACUCUCCGUGUGCCCUGGAACGACGCGAUGCCAACACGUCUCCCCUGACGUUGGCACUGUUUCCAGAAAGCCUUCCUGGGCAAGAUUUGACACUCAAAAAGAGUGAUCCCUGGAGCAAAUGCAAUAAGAAUGACCAGUUAGGUACCACACAAUAUCACUGCCGCGUCCUCACGUUGGCACGGCCUCCAGGGAGUCACCCUACAAAAGGAUGGGGUUUCGUACGAUGGAAAGAGAAACCGGUGGCAGAUGUUCUGUGUGAGUGGGAUCCUCACUGGUCAACUUUCCAUGAUGGUUUGGUGCCGAUACCAGCACCCCUUCUGGAAUACCACAGCCCUCCUCGGCGGCCACCUUCCGCAGAGAUUAGAUUCUGCUCAUGGUGCAACGAGUGACAUGCAUCUUAAAGGAAGCAUGUGCACUGUGAUCCACCAUCCACAUACGUACCUUGUGCAGGUACAAAAGCCAAGAGCUCUUCCCCAGAGGCGGAACGCUGUCCAGGCAGCCCUCCAAAGCAGUAUUUGAUACUGAAAA